UACGGGGGGGGCAAGCGUUGUUCGGAAUUACUGGGCGUAAAGGGCUCGUAGGCGGCCAACUAAGUCAGACGUGAAAUCCCUCGGCUUAACCGAGGAACUGCCCUCCAAACUGCUUCGCUUGAGACCGGGAGAGGUGAGUGGAAUUCCCAGUGUAGCGGUGAAAUGCGUAGAUAUUGGGAGGAACACCAGUGGCGAAGGCGGCUCACUGGACCGGUACUGACGCUGAGGCGCGAAAGCGUGGGGAGCAAACGGG
rnacentral:rRNA from 1 species